rnacentral:rRNA from 1 species
GACGAACGCUGGCGGCGUGCUUAACACAUGCAAGUCGAACGGAACGGCCCUGCUUGUUUGGUGUGCUCGAGUGGCGAACGGGUGAGUAACACGUGAGUAACCUGCCCUUGACUUUGGUGUAACUUCAGGAAACUGGGGCUAAUACAGUAUAGGCUCUUCUGCUGCAUGGCGGGAGUUGGACAUUUUCGGUGGUUGGGGAUGGACUGGCGGCUUAUCAGAUUGGUGGUGGGGUAGUGUCUUACCAAGGCAUUGGCCGGUCGCGGAGCUGAGAGGGUGACGGGCCAGAUUAGGAUUGAGAUACGGCACAGACCACAACGGGAGGCAGCGGUGGAGAGGGUAGUAUUGCGGGAUGGAGGAUGAUGCAGUGACGCGGCGUGGGGGAAGACGGGCAGUGGGUUGUUAAGUGAAGUUGCCUGAGAAGAAGAGUGAGUGACGGUAAUGGACAAAGAAGCACCGGCUAAAUACGUG